rnacentral:lncRNA from 13 species
CUGAUCCAACAGCAGUAAGGAUUUCAUCAGCCCAGACCCCUGCAUGGAUCAGAGCUCCCCCACACCGCACAGACAUGUCCUCAGAUGGAGAAAUAACCUUGACAUUUUGAGCCACUGAGAUUGUGCAGGCUCAUUUCUGCAGCAAAGCCUGGCUCAUCCUGGCCCAAUUCUUACCUUCAAGGACCAUUUACCUCAACUCCGAACCACACAAGCACGUUUUCUUCUAUGGGAACUGUCACAGGUCCGAAAACAGGCAUCUGUAGCCACAGCCACGUAGCCUACCUUGGGAUUCACAGGUGGGUUUGCUACAGGUGGUCAGAAAGACAGGGAAGUGCCUGACAGGGA